rnacentral:lncRNA from 1 species
UAGCCACCACAUUUCCUUCACUUCUUUCCUCAUCAAAGUCCAAGUUCAGUGGCGCCGCCGUAUCGUUGCCUAGUGCUGUUGGUACCAAUCAUGGCCACCGUGUUAGCAUGUCAGCUGACUGGAUGCCUGGUCAACCUAGACCACCUUACCUUGAUGGGUCAGCACCAGGGUAAGGUUUCAAAGUAGCUACAAAAGUUAACAACAAAUGUAUUUAUAGCCAUUUUUCUUACACCUAAAGCUUUUUUUUUCAGUGACUUUGGGUUUGACCCACUAAGACUAGGUGAGGUCCCUGAGAACCUUGAGAGGUACAAAGAAUCUGAGUUGAUUCACUGCAGAUGGGCUAUGCUUGCUGUUGUAAGUGUUCCAUCUUUGUUAAUUUAAUUAGCAGACAAAUUGUAUAGAAGGUUCAUGUGCUUUGCAUCUUUUACAAAUUUAGUCUCAUUUAAUUAUUCAAUUCCUAUUUCAAAUUUGGGUUAAUUUUUGCAGCCAGGUAUAUUGGUACCAGAGGGCUUAGGGUUAGGAAACUGGGUAAAAGCUCAAGAAUGGGCAGCAAUUCCAGGUGGCCAAGCCACUUACUUAGGGAACCCAGUCCCAUGGGGUACCCUCCCCACCAUCUUGGUCAUUGAAUUCCUAUCUAUCGCCUUCGUUGAGC